UCUCCGUAGGUGAACCUGCGGAGGGAUCAUUACCAGAGAUGGCGGGCCUCCGUGCCCCCGUCCCCAACCCAUUGUUGACCAAAACCUUUUUGCCUCGGGGGCAGAGCGUCCGCCGCCGCCCCCGGAGGACCACGAACGCUGUCUCUAUACGUCGGAGUAUUGAUUAAAUGAAUGAAAACUUUCAACAACGGAUCUCUUGGUUCUG
rnacentral:misc_RNA from 1 species